rnacentral:rRNA from 1 species
UAAUACGUAGGGUGCGAGCGUUAAUCGGAAUUACUGGGCGUAAAGCGUGCGCAGGCGGUUCGUUGUGUCGGUGGUGAAAGCCCCGGGCUUAACCUGGGAAUGGCCAUGGAAACUGGCGAACUGGAGUGUGGCAGAGGGGGGUGGAAUUCCGCGUGUAGCAGUGAAAUGCGUAGAGAUGCGGAGGAACACCGAUGGCGAAGGCAGCCCCCUGGGCUAGCACUGACGCUCAGGCACGAAAGCGUGGGGAGCAAACAGGAUUAGAUACCCUGGUAGUCCACGCCCUAAACCAUGUCAACUGGGUGUUCGGGAAGCGAUUUCUGAGUACCGUAGCUAACGCGUGAAGUUGACCGCCUGGGGAGUACGGCCGCAAGGUUA